rnacentral:rRNA from 1 species
UACGGAGGGUGCAAGCGUUGUUCGGAAUUACUGGGCGUAAAGCGCGCGCAGGCGGUUUGUUAAGUCAGAUGUGAAAGCCCAUGGCUCAACCAUGGACGUGCAUUUGAAACUGGCAAGCUUGAGUAGUGGAGGGGGUGGUGGAAUUCCCGGUGUAGAGGUGAAAUUCGUAGAUAUCGGGAGGAAUACCGGUGGCGAAGGCGACCACCUGGCCACAUACUGACGCUGAGGCGCGAAAGCGUGGGGAGCAAACAGGAUUAGAUACCCCCGUAGUCC